GACGAACCGUGCGACCGUUGUUCGGAAUCACUGGGCUUAAAGGGCUCGUAGGUGGCCAACUAAGUCAGACGUGAAAUCCCUCAGCUUAACUGGGGAACUGCGUCUGAUACUGGAUGGCUUGAGUUUGGGAGAGGGAUGCGGAAUUCCAGGUGUAGCGGUGAAAUGCGUAGAUAUCUGGAGGAACACCGGUGGCGAAGGCGGCAUCCUGGACCAACACUGACACUGAUGAGCGAAAGCCAGGGGAGCAAACGGG
rnacentral:rRNA from 1 species